GUGGGGAAUUUUGCACAAUGGGCGAAAGCCUGAUGCAGCAACGCCGCGUGUGUGAUGAAGGUCUUCGGAUCGUAAAGCACUUUCGACCGGGAAGAACAAGCUGCUCCUAACACGAGCGGCCCUGACGGUACCGGGAGAAGAAGCACCGGCUAACUCUGUGCCAGCAGCCGCGGUAAUACAGAGGGUGCAAGCGUUGUUCGGAAUUAUUGGGCGUAAAGCGCGUGUAGGCGGCUUGGUAAGUCGGGUGUGAAAGCCCUCAGCUCAACUGAGGAAGUGCGCCCGAAACUGCUGAGCUUGAGUGCCGGAGAGGAUGGCGGAAUACCCCAAGUAGAGGUGAAAUUCGUAGAUAUGGGGUGGAACACCGGUGGCGAAGGCGGCCAUCUGGACGGUAACUGACGCUGAGACGCGAAAGCGUGGGUAGCAAACAGGAUUAGAUACCCCGGUAGUCC
rnacentral:rRNA from 1 species